ACAAGCACAUGGUCAUUAAGGUGAGGGGCUCUGCUCCCAAGAGGAAAGCAAACUCUUUGGAUCCAUCUCAGAUGCUGGGUUCUGAUGCUGAGUUGUCUAUUUCCAUCUCUUUCACUUCUCCAUCAUCUAGAGGUUUCCAGUUACCAACUCCAAGCUGGAAAGACACUUGGAAAAUGAUUUCAUGUCAUAUACUGCAACAUGGAUAAACCUUGAAGACAUUAUGCUAAGUGAAAUAAGCCAGUCAUGGAAGAACAAAUACUGUAUGAUUCCACUUAUAUGAGUGAUGCCUGCUCCCCUUCACCUUCCACCAUGAAUGGAAGCUCCCUGAAGCCCUCACCAGAAGCUGAGGAGAUGCCAGUGCCAUACUUCUUGUACAGCCUACAGAACCACGAGCCAAAUAAAGCUCUUUUCUUUAUAAAUUA